ensembl:lncRNA
GUGACGUUCUCCAGCGCUCAUCUGCAGGAGUGUUUGAAUGAACUGACUUGUGCUGUAAUAAAUCACAAGUUUUCCAGCGAUAUUCCCAGUUUUAUGAGCAAAUCCUUCAACAGCAGGAACAACUUCUUUACCAGAGAGAGCAGGAUGUUAAAGAGCUGGAAGCCAAAGAAAUGCAGACCAAGUAAAGGAAAGUGCUAAAUCUCAUCGAAGAGUGGUCGUGUGGUCUCUGUGUGUGUGGGGUGACCGGUCCAGACAUGCUACAUAAAAUUGGUGCCGUGACCCGGAUGCACCAGAUCUGCAGUAGCCGAUCGCUGGGGUUUGACAACGCCGAAUCACAACGCUUCUGAAAUCAUCGGACAAAGACUCUAAAUCGUUGACGUUUUGGUGGUGGUGUCUGGACAUGGAACGGAGUGGCUGAUGUGUGUAGUGGGAUGAUGGCUGACAUCACAGCUCUGCGUGCCAGAGUUUGUCAACUGGAGGAGGAGAAGAGAAGCUUAGAGCAACAUCUCAACCUCAGAAACAGAGCGGGUUCACCAGCUCUUCUCCACAUGCAUUCUUAGGAAGUCACGUCUGGACAAAUACCAUAUGAAUAUGGAUCAUGAUGUGUGACAGCUGGUGAGCAGCGUGAGGAAGGAAGGCGUGGACAGAAUCAUCAAACCGAAAAAUAAAUUAUCCUCCACUAAUGAUAACGAGACCCUCAUUCACACACUUCAUGAGGUGAACCCCUAGAAUGAGCUUUGUUAUAAAGUUAUAUAAAUUUUUUUUAAUUAAAGUUAUAUUGAAAUAUCUCACAAAAAAAUCCAAAUAAUUGUUC